GUGCCAGCCGCCGCGGUAAUACGGGGGGGGCAAGCGUUGUUCGGAAUUACUGGGCGUAAAGGGCUCGUAGGUGGCCAACUAAGUCAGACGUGAAAUCCCUCGGCUUAACCGGGGAACUGCGUCUGAUACUGGAUGGCUUGAGUUUGGGAGAGGGACGCGGAAUUCCAGGUGUAGCGGUGAAAUGCGUAGAUAUCUGGAGGAACACCGGUGGCGAAGGCGGCGUCCUGGACCAACACUGACACUGAUGAGCGAAAGCCAGGGGAGCAAACGGGAUUAGAAACCCUGGUAGUCC
rnacentral:rRNA from 1 species